rnacentral:rRNA from 1 species
UACAGAGGGGGCAAGCGUUGUUCGGAAUUACUGGGCGUAAAGGGCGCGUAGGCGGCCUUCUAAGUCGAACGUGAAAUCCCCGGGCUCAACCCGGGAACUGCGUCCGAUACUGGGAGGCUUGAAUCCGGGAGAGGGAUGUGGAAUUCCAGGUGUAGCGGUGAAAUGCGUAGAUAUCUGGAGGAACACCGGUGGCGAAGGCGGCAUCCUGGACCGGUAGUUGACGCUGAGGCGCGAAAGCUA